CUACCUUGCAACCUUUUGGGUUUUAAGCAUCAUUAUAUUCUAAACAGUUAACACUACCAUAUCAUCUUUACUAUAGAGACAAUCAAUUAGAUUACUAUAAUCCAAUCAUUGAUUAAUAAAGAACAAUGUUUUGUCAAACAAAACAUUCAUCCAUCUCGACUAUAGUGACGGAAUUAAAUUCCUUAAAAUUGGAAUGUAAAGACAAUCUUUGUUUUUCCAAUUUCUUUGGUAGUUCAUAUGAGGAAGUAAGUACUAUCUGCUUUCGCAGAGAUCUUU
rnacentral:lncRNA from 1 species